rnacentral:rRNA from 1 species
UACGAAGGGGGCUAGCGUUGUUCGGAAUCACUGGGCGUAAAGGGCGCGUAGGCGGCUGUUCAAGUCGGGGGUGAAAUCCCGUGGCUCAACCACGGAAUGGCCUUCGAUACUGGACGGCUCGAGACCGGAAGAGGUGAGUGGAACUGCGAGUGUAGAGGUGAAAUUCGUAGAUAUUCGCAAGAACACCAGUGGCGAAGGCGGCUCACUGGCCCGGUUACUGACGCUGAGGUGCGAAAGCGUGGGGAGCAAACAGG